rnacentral:rRNA from 1 species
UACGUAGGGGGCAAGCGUUGUCCGGAGUUACUGGCGUAAAGCGCACGCCAGGCGGUCUCUUAAGUUUGGAGUGACAGUUGGUGGCUUAACUGCCAAAGUGCUUCGAAAACUGAGAGACUUGAGGGCUCAGAGGGACACGGAAUUCCGGGUGGAGUGGUGAAAUGCGUAGAGAUCCGGAGGAACACCAAAGGCGAAGGCAGUGCCUGGGGAGUACCUGACGCUCAGGUGCGAAAGCCAGGGGAGCGAACGGG